rnacentral:rRNA from 1 species
GAUCCUGCCAGUAGUCAUAUGCUUGUCUCAAAGAUUAAGCCAUGCAUGUCUAAGUACAGGCCGAACCAAGGCGAAACCGCGAAUGGCUCAUUAAAUCAGUUAUGGUUCAUUGGAUCUUACUUGUCCUACUCGGAUAACUGUGGUAAUUCUAGAGCUAAUACGUGCUUCCAAGCCCCGACCGCAAGGGAAGGGCGUUUUUAUUAGAUCAAAACCAAUCGGGCUUCGGUCCGUCCCAACUGUGGUGACUCUGAAUAACUUUGAGCUGAGCGCACGGUCUUUGCGCCGGCGCCAUAUCCUUCAAGUGUCUGCCUUAUCAGCUGUCGAUUGUAGGUUAUGCGCCUACAAUGGCUAUAACGGGUAACGGGGAAUCAGGGUUCGAUUCCGGAGAGGGAGCCUGAGAAACGGCUACCACAUCUAAGGAAGGCAGCAGGCACGCAAAUUACCCACUCCCGGCACGGGGAGGUAGUGACGAAAAAUAACGAUGCGGGACUCUUCCGAGGCCUCGCAAUCGGAAUGAGUACACUUUAAAUCCUUUAACGAGGAUCUAUUGGAGGGCAAGUCUGGUGCCAGCAGCCGCGGUAAUUCCAGCUCCAAUAGCGUAUAUUAAAGUUGCUGCGGUUAAAAAGCUCGUAGUUGGAUCUCAGUUCCGGACCGACGGUUCACCGCCCGGUGCUUACUGUCGGCUUCCGAACGGCCACACGCCGGCUCGGUCGGGGUGCUCUUCACCGGGUGUCCCGGCGCGGCCGGCAAGUUUACUUUGAAAAAAUUAGAGUGCUCAGCGCAGGCUGUUAUGCCCGAAUAUCUGUGCAUGGAAUAAUGGAAUAGGACCUCGGUUCUAUUUUGUUGGUUUUCGGAACCCGAGGUAAUGAUUAAUAGGUACAGUCGGGGGCAUUCGUAUUGCGACGUUAGAGGUGAAAUUCUUGGAUCGUCGCAAGACGGACUACUGCGAAAGCAUUUGCCAAGAAUGUUUUCAUUAAUCAAGAACGAAAGUUAGAGGUUCGAAGGCGAUCAGAUACCGCCCUAGUUCUAACCAUAAACGAUGCCAACUAGCGAUCCGCCGGCGUUAUUACAAUGACUCGGCGGGCAGCUUCCGGGAAACCAAAGUCUUUGGGUUCCGGGGGAAGUAUGGUUGCAAAGCUGAAACUUAAAGGAAUUGACGGAAGGGCACCACCAGGAGUGGAGCCUGCGGCUUAAUUUGACUCAACACGGGGAACCUCACCAGGCCCGGACACCGGCAGGAUUGACAGAUUGAGAGCUCUUUCUCGAUUCGGUGGGUGGUGGUGCAUGGCCGUUCUUAGUUGGUGGAGCGAUUUGUCUGGUUAAUUCCGAUAACGAACGAGACUCAAA